CUGUGUAGACCAGGAAUGACACUGAGCAACUCAGGAUGGAUCAUAUCAUUGAAGAGGCUAUUGACAAACAGCUUAUCAACAGAAUGCAAGAGAUGAAAGACACUGUAAGCAGUUUGUCAAAAGAGAUAAAAUUAUGCAGGCCAAAAUCCACCACAACUACCAACAAAUAGGCACUUCUAGCCAACAGACCCACACAUCCCAGGCAUCUAUGAAGAUGUGGUCCAGAGUUGACCAGCAAAACCAAAGAAGAGGAAGUGAUGAAACAACAAAAGCUGAAACUGUGUUGGUUGCACAACAAAAAAACAGAAGUAGCUGUUAAAUCAAUUUGGAAAUGAGAUUACACUUCUGGAUGCUAUUUAAAAGACUGUGAGAUACAACUUGCCACUAUUCUUUCUGGUUGUUAAAACCAAUGUGAACUGUGGAGGGAUGGGCUCUUUCAUUAUUCAAAGUGAAACAACAGCUGCAAUAUGAGGACUGUUAGCAAUCUCUAAUUAUGAAAAUGACACUUGGAAGCCCUGAUAUUUUUUGACAGACUUUUGUCUUGAGAAAAUACAGACAAACACAAUCAAGCAAACAUUCACAGGACAAAAGCCUCUGGAUGGCAAAUCCAAAGCUGAAGAACUGGUUUGAUAAAACAUGGUUGGCAGAAGCAAAGGCGAUGAAUGUGGGCAUAUAGACAAGACAGGUUUAUGGUCUAUAUCAUCACCAAUAAUGGCAUUGAGUCUUAGAAUGAAUCUUUAAAAUAUCAUCACCUCAAAGAUCACAAUCCUAACAGUCUAGCUGGAAUGAUAACAGUACUGAACCAGGAGAUCUGGUGUAACAAACACCAAAGGUAGGUGCCAACAUAGCCAACAAUGAUGGCAAUUAUGUGAAAUGUAUGUUAUUGUGUGAAGAAAAAAAGCUGAUUGAAAGAAGUCAUAGCAUUAGUGAAUUAUGAUAAGAUUGCCUCUGAUGUAGCAGCUCCUUCUCAUUCUUGGGUUCUUUGUGACGACUUGAGAUUUAAAGGGACAUCAUCAAUCAGAAUGUAUUUAUUCAGUUAAGAAAUAACAUGACAUCCAUACUGAGUUUUUAUUUCUGUUGCUUGUAGUGAGUUACAGUAUUAAAACAGUUGUACACAUUCAAAGAAUAAUGAAGAGUGAACACGUAAGAGUUGAGGUACAUUUAAAGUGCUCUGAAUAUUUCUUCUCUUAUGCAUUGAAAACAUACAGACGGUGAACUAACUUACAGUUCAUUUUACUUGCCUUGUCACUUUCUGAUACGUGCAGUCCCUUGUACAAUUUCAGUAUACUUUAAGUAUACUUCAAGUAUACUUUUUCUGUACUUUCCAGAAACGAAGUACAUUUGAAGUAUACAUAAUUUAGACUUCAACAAAAAAAGUGUAAAUGAAGUUUAUUAAGCAAAUUGUAAUAAAUGUACUUUAUUUGUACUUAAAUGGGAAAAGUAUACUUCAAGUAUACUUUCCUAAACCCUUGGAAUUUGCAAAAAAGUUGCCAUAGAAAAUAAAGUAUACUUUGUGUAUACCUUUAAAACUUAAUUACAGACAAUCUGGCCUGCAAGUCUACAAUAUUGAAAUCUCUACACAGCUCCUUUAAAAGUGAAACACUUAAAGCACUAAAUUUAAUAUAUGUUCAAAAACCAUUCCAAGAAAGAAGAUUUUAAAUCAGUAGAACACAACUGUCAAGAAGCCACAGG